UACGGAGGGGUUCAAGCGUUGCUCGGAAUCAUUGGGCGUAAAGCGAGUGUAGGUGGCUUUGUAAGUCAAGUAGUGGAAAGCCCCAGGCUUAACCUGGGAAGUGCUAUUGAUACUGCAAAGCUUGAAUGUGGGAGAGGAUCGUGGAAUUCCAGGUGUAGUGGUGAAAUACGUAGAUAUCUGGAGGAACACCGGUGGCGAAGGCGGCGGAUCUGGCCCAACAUUGACACUGAGACUCGAAAGUGCAGGGAUCAAACAGG
rnacentral:rRNA from 1 species